rnacentral:sRNA from 1 species
ACUCACCAUCAGGUGGGCCGUAUGCCCGUC